CAGUAGCCGCGGUAAUACGGAGGGGGCUAGCGUUGUUCGGAAUUACUGGGCGUAAAGCGUACGUAGGCGGCUUUGUAAGUUAGAGGUGAAAGCCCGGGGCUCAACCCCGGAAUUGCCUUUAAGACUGCAUCGCUUGAAUCGCGGAGAGGUGAGUGGAAUUCCGAGUGUAGAGGUGAAAUUCGUAGAUAUUCGGAAGAACACCAGUGGCGAAGGCGGCUCACUGGACGCGUAUUGACGCUGAGGUACGAAAGCGUGGGGAGCAAAUGGGAUUAGAUACCCCCGUAGUCCCUGUCUCUUAUAC
rnacentral:rRNA from 1 species